CGUGCGGUGGAGCAGCCCGGUAGCUCGCCAGCCUCAUAAGCUGGAGGCCGCAGGUUCAAAUCCUGCCCCCGCAACCA
rnacentral:tRNA from 1 species